rnacentral:rRNA from 1 species
GACGUAGGGUGCGAGCGUUGUCCGGAUUUAUUGGGCGUAAAGAGCGUGUAGGCGGCCUGGUAGGUCAGCUGUGAAAACUCGAGGCUCAACCUCGAGACGCCGGUUGAAACCAUCAGGCUAGAGUCCGGAAGAGGAGAGUGGAAUUCCCGGUGUAGCGGUGAAAUGCGCAGAUAUCGGGAAGAACACCCGUGGCUAAGGCGGCUCUCUAGUACGGUACUGACGCUGAGACGCGAAAGCGUGGGGAGCGAACAGG